rnacentral:rRNA from 1 species
UACAGAGGUCUCGAGCGUUGUUCGGAUUCAUUGGGCGUAAAGGGUGCGUAGGCGGCGCGGUAAGUCGGGUGUGAAAUCUCGGAGCUUAACUCCGAAACUGCAUUCGAUACUGCCGUGCUUGAGGACUGGAGAGGAGACUGGAAUUUACGGUGUAGCGGUGAAAUGCGUAGAUAUCGUAAGGAAGACCAGUGGCGAAGGCGGGUCUCUGGACAGUUCCUGACGCUGAGGCACGAAGGCGAGGGGAGCAAACGGG